CAGCUCCUGCACACAAAGAUCCACAGACAAACACAACACCCACUACAAACCAACAGGACGAACAGACCACUUACACAGAAAACAAGGACGAGAGAAAGAUCUACAGACAAACACAGAACACCCACUCCCAGACAACAAAACAAUUCAAAACGACAAACACAACAUUACCAAAAUACGGCCACAGCCGUAACAGUGCCAUAUGAUGAAAUAAUGUAAAAGAGGCCGUGAAAAACACUCCAGAAAGGUGUUCUUUGAAAAAAAAAUCAUCAUGAAUUUUGGCGCAAAAAAAACGCCUUACUAUACUAUGUCGAAAAAAAAUGCAAUUUUUCAAACAUGUUGUAAAAACGUGCCAUAUGAUGAAAUAAUGUAAAGGAGGGUGUGAAAAACACUCCAGAAAGGUUUUCUUUAAAAAAAAAAAAUCAUCAUGAAUUUUGGCGCAAAAAAAACGCCUUACUAUACUAUGUCGAAAAAAAAUGGGAUUUUUUAAACAUGUUGUAAAAACGUGCCAUAUGAUGAAAUAAUGUAAAGGAGGCCGUGAAAAACACUCCAGAAAGGUUUUCUCUGAAAAAAAAAUCAUCAUGAAUUUUGGCGCAAAAAAAACGCCUUACUAUACUAUGUCGAAAAAAAAUGCAAUUUUUCAAACAUGUUGUAAAAACGUGUCAUAUGAUGAAAUAAUGUAAAGGAGGCCGUAAAAAAUACUCCAGAAAGGUUUUCUUUGAAAAAAAAAUCAUCAUGAAUUUUGGCGCAAAAAAAACGCCUUACUAUACUAUGUCGAAAAAAAAUGGGAUUUUUCAAACAUGUUGUAAAAACGUGCCAUAUGAUGAAAUAAUGUAAAGGAGGCCGUAAAAAACACUCCAGAAAGGUUUUCUUUGAAAAAAAAAUCAUCAUGAAUUUUGGCGCAAAAAAAACGCCUUACUAUACUAUGUCGAAAAAAAAUGCGAU
ensembl:lncRNA